rnacentral:rRNA from 1 species
CAAGUCGAACGAGAAAGGGAUUGCUUGCAAUCCUGAGUAGAGUGGCGCACGGGUGAGUAACACGUAGAUAAUCUACCCCCAAGCCCGGGAUAACCGUUCGAAAGGGCGGCUAAUACCGGAUGAAGUUGAUCUGCACAAGUGGAUAGAUGAAAGAUUGCCUCUUCAUGAAAGCAAUUGUUUGGGGAUGAGUUUGCGUACCAUUAGCUUGUUGGUGGGGUAAGGGCCUACCAAGGCUGUGAUGGUUAGCUGGUCUGAGAGGAUGAUCAGUCACACUGGAACUGGAACACGGUCCAGACUCCUACGGGAGGCAGCAGUGAGGAAUUUUGCGCAAUGGGGGCAACCCUGACGCAGCAACGCCGCGUGAGUGAAGAAGGCCUUUGGGUCGUAAAGCUCUGUCAACUGGGAAGAAGUUACAUAUGAUUAACAGUGGUAUGUAUUGACGGUACCAGUGGAGGAAGCGCCGGCUAACUCCGUGCCAGCAGCCGCGGUAACACGGGGGGCGCAAGCGUUAUUCGGAAUUAUUGGGCGUAAAGGGCGCGUAGGCGGUUCUGUCGGUCAGAUGUGAAAGCCCGGGGCUCAACCCUGGAAGUGCAUUUGAAACAGCAGAACUUGAGUACGGGAGAGGAAAGCGGAAUUCCUGGUGUAGAGGUGAAAUUCGUAGAUAUCAGGAGGAACACCGAUGGCGAAGGCAGCUUUCUGGACCGAUACUGACGCUGAGGCGCGAAGGCGUGGGUAGCGAACGGGAUUAGAUACCCCGGUAGUCCACGCAGUAAACGAUGU